CAAGGUAGAGCUGACAGGGCAUGGAGAAAGACUCUCUCCACUCCUGUAGCUCUGGGUUAAAUGCCUUGGCCUCUGUUUCACGAAGGAACUCACUCUGCCCAAAGUUCUUUGUUUUCUGUGGAGAACAGCUCCUCAGGUUCAUCAUGACAGUAUGGACAGACUGAGUGGGCACUGCAUGACGAAUGAGUGAGAAUGAUUUUGGUCUCUGUGCUUCCUGAGAGGCAGAGAGCAGGUACCUCCCUGUACUGUGCAAAGUGAAGCUGACAUUGUGGAAGAUCUUCAGUUACCUAUAAAGACAGGUCAGGAGAGAAGACAGACCUUGACCAGGACUUCAUCUGUUUAACUUCAGAGUUCAGAGACCAUUCUUAAGAGGAUAAGAGUAAUAGCCCAGCUAACCUCCCUGCAAUCCCUCCCCAGUGAAGGAUAGCAGCGCUUUUCAAAAACAAUUCAGACUCAAAGGAGAUGGUGGCCAAGCUACAGGGAAGAGCACUCACAGCAGGAACUGUUCUCCUUCAGGUCCAGAGCUCAGCAAGCUCCCUUCACAGCUCUGACCUUGGCCUCCUGUCACCUGCUCCCAGCCCUGAACUUUCAGACAGAACCUCUAUGAAUAAGGUGAGAGGGAGUCUUUAAUUAAUGCCCUCAGUCUGGGGAAUGAAAACAAAGAAAAAGGCUGCUGUGAGAAGAUGGAUCUGGCUGUCAAAACAAAAUGAAAUAAAAGUCUCCAAGUCCUGAAAUCCAACAGACAACACCAUCUUCACUUCACAGCACUGGACUUCUACCAUUUCUUGUGAAGAAAUCGGGCUGGAGACCACAGCACAAUGCUUCAUUUAAAAAGAAUCAAUGAAAUGACUUUGCACAGAAAUUCUCCAUUGGGGAAACCCAGAUGAUGCCUCAUUCUUACAUCUUCCAUUAGAGUCCUUUUCAAAUCCCCAAUGAGUUUAAAUUCCCUAGAAAGGCCCUGCAAGUUUCCCUGGUAAUUAUGGUCUUAUGAGAAACAAUCACGCUAGAGGGGGAAAAGCCUCCAGAAAAUUCCCUGCUGUCAGGCUCAGCCAUUGUAUCUGUUUUUAGAGUUAUAUGAGAAAUUCAUGUUACACUUUGGGGAGCUCUCUGUGGUAAAAUAGCUUGUACGUCCUAGCUCAAGGCUAAAAUAGCCCCCACCCCUUCUUUUUUCCUAGGAAGUGCUAUAUUUCCAAAUCAGAAGAUGACUUUAAACAGCAUCUGGACAAUCCAUUAUCAGAAGGAGAAAUGUUAGCACCAGUGUUCAAAGACAUCUGAAGAUAUAAGACUUAGAGUCAAGUUUUAGACUUGUUUACAUAUGCGAGGGAAAAAAAAUAACCUCCUUCUGGAAUGUUCAGAUCAGCCUAAAAUUGUAUCCUCUUAAACAAACAUGGAGAAGUUGCAGUUUGUAGGCCUGACCCUAGGAACUGGAAAUCCAAGGAUAACUCUGCAAAGAUAGUAAUAGUAAUAAUACUUGUUUUAGAAGAGUCACCACUUAAACUUUUCCUCAGCACCUACUUGCUCAGUUGAAUUCUUCUGUGAAGUUAUUGUAAAGAAACAGACACUAGAAGCUGAUCUGACUCCUGUGCUCAGUUCAGGCAGACUGUCCUGUCGCACCCAUGUUGUAAGAGCCUCUAAAGAAUGAACCACCUCCUCCUGAGCUCUCUUUAUGUAACUGCAGAGCAAGAGAUGAUGUCACUACUCGAAACCCAGAAGAAGCACCCCAACCAUUCAGUUAGUAUCUAAGCACCCUCGGUGAUAUUUCUUAGGACCCAGAGAAGGAUCUAAUACAUUCUAUUUUACUUUUCUAUUAUUGAAUCUUGAGGUAGUACUCUUAACCAGCUUAGUCAAGGAAUACAGGUGGUCCAGUUGAAAUGAGAUUGUAAAUCUUAGGGUUUCCACCCAUAAAACAACAGGCUUUGUGUGCUUCCUCUCAAGCAUACAGAUAUGCAAUGACUAAGUGCAUGAGAUCACAAGCAAGUGAAAUAUUGGCAUUGUCAUAAUAACAAUGCCUGUGCAUGAUUGGCAUUUUGCAUUUUUCAUUUAUUCGUUCAUAGAACAUACAUGUGUCUGACUCACAAGAGCAGGGCUAUGGUAGUAAGAAGAUCAGUCUAUUGCAUGUCUUUAGGGAUCCUGCCUGUUUGCUUAUUUGAUCUCGUAAGAUCUUUUCAGGACAGCUUGGCAGCCUCUCUGAUCCCUAGAAGUACAGCAUACAGUUGCCAGGUCCUGGCUUUGGAAUUCCAGUGCAAAACAUGGGGUAACAAAACUCUUUAAGUUUAAUUAUAUUCAGAAUAGUGCUGAAAACAUUAUCUACCUUGAGGGAAGGAGGGACAUAAUGGGCAGUGUUCAACAUAAAGUAAUUAUUUCUGAAAUUAGCUUACACCCCUCUGUGGGAGAAUUGAAUGUGAAACCCCUUAUGAACACAGACAAGAAGGACUUGAGCUAGCUAUUCACACAGGAGAGAUUCUUGGAAGAUCCAGAGUAAAGUAGGCAAUUAGAGAGG